GGGCCCGCACAAGCGGUGGAGUAUGUGGUUUAAUUCGAUGCAACGCGAAGAACCUUACCAGGGCUUGACAUCCUGCGAAUCUCUGGGAAACCGGAGAGUGCCUUCGGGAACGCAGUGACAGGUGGUGCAUGGCUGUCGUCAGCUCGUGUCGUGAGAUGUUGGGUUAAGUCCCGCAACGAGCGCAACCCACGUCUUUAGUUGCCAGCAUUUAGUUGGGCACUCUAGAGAGACCGCCGGUGACAAACCGGAGGAAGGUGUGGAUGACGUCAAGUCAUCAUGCCCCUUACGUCCUGGGCUACACACGUACUACAAUGCUACGGACAAAGAGCAGCAAACUCGCGAGAGCUAG
rnacentral:rRNA from 1 species